UUGUGUCCGCCCCAACCGCCG
rnacentral:siRNA from 1 species